AUUGAACGCUGGCGGCAUGCCUUACACAUGCAAGUCGAACGGUAACAGGUCUUCGGACCUAGCGGCGGACGGGUGAGUAAUGCGUAGGAAGCUGCCCGAUAGAGGGGGAUACCAGUUGGAAACGACUGUUAAUACCGCAUAAUGUCUACGGACCAAAGUGUGGGACCUUCGGGCCACAUGCUAUCGGAUGCGCCUACGUGGGAUUAGCUAGUUGGUGAGGUAAUGGCUCACCAAGGCGACGAUCUCUAGCUGGUUUGAGAGGAUGAUCAGCCACACUGGAACUGAGACACGGUCCAGACUCCUACGGGAGGAAGCAGUUGGGAAUAUUGGACAAUGGGUGCAAGCCUGAUCCAGCCAUGCCGCGUGUGUGAAGAAGUCCUUCGGGUUGUAAGGCACUUUCAGCGAGGAGGAAGGGGUGUGUGUUAAUAGUACACACCUUUGACGUUACUCGCAGAAGAAGCACCGGCUAACUCUGUGCCAGCCGCCGCCGUAACAC
rnacentral:rRNA from 1 species